rnacentral:lncRNA from 10 species
AGGCUAGUCUUGAACUCUUGGCCUCAGGCAAUCUUCCUGCCUUUACCUCCGGAGACAAUGGGAUUACAGACAUGAGCCACCAUGCCCAGUGACGAAACUUCAGCUUUAAGAGGUUAAAAGACUUGUCCAGAGUCAUGUUAACAGCAGAAACAGAUGAACUCUCAAGAAAUAAAGAUCUCGUUUUCAUGGAAAUCAUCUCCCAAGAACAAGAGAAAAAAAUAAAGAAAAUGUAUGAGAGACUUGGGAUUGCUGUAAAAGACAACAGGUGUCAGAGUUUUCUAUGAAGACUUCACUAUUCCUUGAGCUACAGCUUCAGACACAGCCAAGUAUAAUGCUCUUGCUUCAUGAAGCCAAACAGCCACUUUCUUCUCUGGAAUGUUAAUCUGCUCUUAUUGGAGUUAGCAACCCCAGGAGGAUCGCUUCCUGAUUUGUCUUAUCCAGAAAAAAAAAAAACAAAAAAACCUCCUCUUUCCCACCUCUGGAGUGCUGUGAAUACUCAGAAGGGAUAGACACAUCACCACUGAGAAUUCCCACAUUUCCUUAUGCUGCUGCUCUAAGAGGAUAUGAAAGAUUCUGUUUUAAUCUAAACAAAAACUGAAAAGGGAAGAGGCAAAUUUUUGUGUUGAUGCACAUUUUCUUUCUCAUAUUUAGCUAAAAUUUACCUCUAAUUACUCCUUUAAGAAAUAAAUGAGUUAGGCAUAAUGUCUUCCAAUGUCCCUCCAGUUGUAUCACAAUUAUCAUGAAUCAUCAUAGUGGUUCCUUUGUCCUUGAGGAAUUUAUUUAAUUCAUAGACACUAUUACUUUGCUUUCAUGCAAAGUAUGUGAAUCAUGUAAUUCAUGUGAAUCAAGGUCUAGGAAAACAGAGGGAGUUUAUCACAUAAACAUAGAAAAGUUAUUUAUCUUACUUAACUUAUAAGAAAUGCAAAUUUUUUAAUCUUGAGAUUUCCAAGGCAGUUUUUAAAGUAUGCAUCAAAGAAGGCACACAGUUUAUACAAAUAUUUUCAUCCUCUUUGGUUUGUUAUAGUACCAAGGUAGUACAAAGGGUGAAUUACCUCUACACUUGUUUCAUGUCUGUCCCUCCUACUGAGGCAUUAAUAGAUGUGAUACCAUGAGUACUGCAUUGUUAAUACUCAGCUUCGUCUCUAGAGCUCAGAAAAUGCUCUUCUCAAAUUCAUACAGAACAUUCUUAUAUAGGUUAUGCUCUACCUACUGCAUUUGUAAUGAAAAAUAUGUAUCUACACCAAAAUCCUGCUUCUUCAGAAGGAAACAACAAAAUGAGCCUUCCAUAACAACAAAAAUUAAUUGCAACCAAUCUUGAAAUAUCUUGACAUGAAAUGUUGGAAAUUUCUUAGAAUAUCUGAACAUUUUAUUUGCUUGAAAUAUGUUUUUCAAGUAAAAGACAUAUGAUGAAAAAAAGACAUAUGAUGAUAUUUGUACCUAAAUAAUUCACUUAUGGAUACAUUUACUUGUAUCCUUAUUUGAAGAUAUAAUAUUAACAUUGAAAAUAGUAUGCAUGUAUAAUUUCACCAUAAAAAUUAGUGUAAUACCAUAUAGAGAAACAAAGAUUUCAUCCUUCCUUAGUGAAUCUGAAGAACUUCAAAACCAAAAAGAACUCUUCUGAUUUUUAAAAGUUAUAGUCAGCCAGGCACUGUGGCUCAUGCCUAUAAUCCUAGCACUUUGGGAGACCAAGGUGGGCAGAUGGCCUGAGCUCAGGAGUUUGAGACCACCAUGGACAACAUAGUGAAACCCCGUCUCUACUAAAAUACAAAAAAUUAGCCGGGUAUGGUGGCACGUGCCUGUAGUCUCAGUUACUCAAGAGGCUGAGGCACGAGAAUUGCUUGAACCUAGGAGAGAAUGAUAGGAAUUUGAAAGUUACUUUAUUUUUCUAGUUUAUAUUCCUUUAAAGACUACAUUCAGAAUUAAAGACGAGAAGCUCAAAGCAGACAGGAGGUGACUUUGUUUUAAUAGCUCGAUAGGUUGAAGAGAUAAAAAAGUAAAUCUACUUAUAAAAUAUAGAGAUUUAGUUUAUGCAAAAAUCAUGUGCAGCUUAUAAACUGUGUCUCAAUGAGAUCAUGCAAUGUCAUUUGACUGUUAGGAAUCUCUAAUCAGAAAUAAUCAUAUAAAUAGCCAAGAAACAAACAAACAAACAAAAACAAGGAAAAGUAAACAGUCUUGCUCAUCAAAAUAAUGGGUAAUGUAUAUGGAAGGAAAAAACAGCAGAAACAAAAUAUGGUCAGAAUAUAUAAAAAGAAAGAAUACUUCAGAACAAUAAAAUUUUAUUGAACAGGUUCUCGAAAUGGGGCACUUUGAAACUUUUAAGAACAUCCUUGUAGAUGUAUUAUUUCGGAUUUGGUUUUCCAAAUAUUUAACACAUUUCAUAUGCAAUUAAUUAUCUAUGAAGCUUUUUUAUCAAAGUUUUCACUCUAUUUAAAUAAUGUUAUCAGAACUUUAAAAAAUAUUUAGUGUACUACAACUCAAGCAUUGAUUUGUGCUGUUCUCAAUUUCCUAAAAAUCUCAACUCAUAUACAUCAAAAUCAUAAUCAUUUCAAAGUGACUAAAAACAUGGACAUAAUGAUAAGGUUUCACAAAUGACAGAAAGUUUUACUGUCUAACAAGACCACAGCAAGGUUUUUUAAGUGUAUGGGAGUUGAUUUAAGUCUCUGUAGAUAGCCAGUUUGGAUUGAGAAGGAAAACGUUCCAUCAAAAACUCAGCACACAAUCUUUUGAGAACAUUCUGCUUAUGAAGUCCUGUACUUGAUACUUUAGCACAUUCAAAAGUCUGAAGAGAGAAAAAAAUACAAAAAAAAUAAAAUAAAAUAAAUAAAUAACACAAAAGUCUGAAGAGAUUGUAGAAUAACAAGGCAAUUACAAGUGCCUAAGCAAAUGCUACUUAUGCUAAAUAGCAUAUGCCAUAAGGCCAAAAACAAAUUAAAAUUUAAUUAAAUGUAACAAUAUUAGUUUAUUAAUGCAUAAAAAUAAAUAUACUUGAAGACAAAUUUUAUUGAGUAGGAAUUAUCAGAAUAGUCUAGUUUGAAACUUUGAAAAGCAUCCUUUUAGAUUUAUUGUAUUAUUUUGGGUUUAGGUUUGUAAAUUUCAACACAUACCGUAUGUAUUUAAUUACCUAUUAAUCUAACUACCCCAUCCCCCAACCCCAUCAAGCAAUACUCAAUUUUACCCUUGUGGUAAUUCAUGAACAUGUGCAUCGAUUGUGGUCUGUUUAGUGUUGUGGUUUUUUGCAUUUUUGUCAUUUUUGUUACGGACAUGACUGUUUAAAAUGGCCCCCUACUGUAGUACUAAAGAGCUGUUUAGUGUUCCUAAGCACAAGAAAGCUAGCACCUCAUGGAGAUAUAUGUUAGAUAUGCUUCAUUCAGGCAUAAGUUAUAUACUACCGGUAGCCCUAAAUUCUAUGUUAAUGAAUCAACAAAAUAUUAAAUAUAGUGUUUUUAAGCAGAAAUACAAAUAAAACAAGGUUAGGUAUUGAUAUGUUGAUAAAAAUGUAAAAAAUGUGACCUGAGGCUCACAGGAACCUAAUCCUGCAUUUCUCCUAGGAGCAACGACUCCGUUUUAGCUACAUCAGUGUUCACAAUGACUUUAGAGAGCAUAACCACUAAUACUGAGAAUUGACUGUGUAUCUAUGUCUGUAUAUGUGUUUGUGUGUAUACACAGGUUCUUUUUUAAAAAAUAAAACAAAAUCCAGAAGUUAUCAAACUUGAAAACUACUUCAAAUUCUACUAUUUGGGAAAAUAUUAUAGGAGAAAAGCAGAAAUAACAUUGGAUUUUAAUUGUGCAUAAUAUUUUUAGCCAUUGAAAUUUCCAUAAGGAGUUUUAGCACAUGCAGUUAAUUUGCAUGAGAGACAGCUGGAGCAUAUUGGCUCUUUCAAAGCCACUAUGAUUUAUCAACUCAAUAAUGCAUGAGCUUAGACAAAGUUAUACAAGUGUCUGUAUUUUUAACAAGGUGAUAGAGUAAGAAAUUUGCUAAAGCAGCCAUUCCAGACCCAGGUGACUAAAAGAAGGUUAGAUCAUUUAUACAAACUGGAACACAAUUUUACAGUCCUGCUUUAUUUUUGGCCUUGGGUUUUUUUUCCUGAAAAUAAUAUUUUGUUUGGAAAAAGUGCCAAACUUAAAAACAGACAGUUUGGGACACAGAAGUCAUGUGUUCUUAUAAGCUAUUAUUACAAUAUGGAGAGAGUCAAAUUAAGAUCUCUACUAAAGUUACCUCUGGAAUUAGAUUCAACUUGCAGAGGCAGCCUCUAAAAAAAACUAAUUAUUUUUCUCUGUUUAUUCAAAGAAAUUGAAUGGUCUUUAUUUAAUAAACUCCAAAUGGCAAAAAUGAAAAAGAAACAAACUUUUUUCUACCUUUAUCAUAAGGUUGUCACAGGGGGUGCCCAUGAUAUAAUUCUCCUGACAUCGUUGAAAUUAUUACUUGGUUUCUGUUUUUAAAAAAGAAGCUAUUGUUAUAGUAGACACAUAGGUUACAAAAGCUCUAUACAUGGACUUUGAAGUCAUGUAGCAACAUAGAAAAUAUAAAGCAAAUAGAAUUUAAAACAUUGUAAAUGAAAAGAUACUGUUAUGACUUAGUAUUCAAUGAUUACUGGGAUAAAAAGGAAAGAAAUUAUUUGAAGACUCAGUUUCUGUGCCUAGGUGACUAGAAGAAUAACUGUAUCUAUUUUUAGAACAAAUAGAAAAGUUUAAAUUUAACCAUUAUAACUAAUUUUGGGCAUCCAUUAGAACUCAUUUUGGGCAUUCACAUCUACAGGUCAUAAAUUUCAAUAUCCAACAUGCUAACUCUACAAGAUAUCAAAUGUCUAUCUUAUUCAGACUUCUACCAUGUCCCCGCUAAUGAGAUACAAGAAGAAGGAUAAUAAAGAAUAAAUUUCAUGAGAAUCAUUUGCAUCCAGUCAUCUUCCUUGCCAGAAUGUCUUGGACUGGUAGGUUGAAGCCAGGAAUUGGCCGACAGCAUCAAACAAUAAGUUUGCUGAUGUGAGGCCAAAAGUUCUAGUAAGCCUCCCACUGAAAAAGGCUACUGAAGUGUACAAAUAAAUCAAGUAUCAAGUUAUAAACUUACUUUGUGUCAGUUAGCCCAAUCUUACUUCAAAUGCCAAGUCAAGUGAGGACAGGGGAACCAGAAACGGUAUACUACACAGUAACCAGAGGAGUAACUGGAAAAACACCUCCUCCUCAAUAGUUAGGUUUGGAGAGGCAUCCAUACUGUCAGAGUUUAGAAUUAAGGUAUAUUACCUAUAACCAUGUACAAAUCCCUUAUUUUAUAGAUGAGAAAACUGAGAUUCAAUGUUGUACAUUUAAUCAGUGCAGAGGUGAAAAUAAGAACCAAGUCCUCAAACUCAUACAGUCUCAAAAUUGAACAAUCUCUUUAAGAGAUCAACCACUCUUGGCUGGGCGCAGUGGCUCACGCCUGUAAUCCUAGCACUUUGGGAGGCUGAGGUGGGCGUAUCACCUGAGGUCAAGAAAUCGAGAC